GGUAUCUGAAAAUGGUCAAUCAUCGAAUCCUAAGUUGACUCGACCUAUCUUAAACUUCCCAUCACCUACCUGUGCAGCUGAAGGGAAGUAAUUUCUUAGUGUUUUUCAAUUUUACUGUCACUUCCUCAAGGAUUUUCUAGUCGUCACUGAUCCUCUACCUGAACUUACAAGGAUUGGUGUCGAAUUCUACUGCCUAAUAAGCCAAAGAGGCAGUACUCUCUCAAAUGGAUGAAGGAAUUGAACAACCUAUCGCUUUUGCAUCCCAAAUAAUAUCUACGGGUGAGAAAAACUACUCCCAGAUUGACAAAGGUUACUGGCAUUAUUUUAGGAGUCAACCAAUUUCAAUGUUAUCUCCUGGGACGGACAUUAAACCUUAGAACAGACCAAAAAAAACUUCAAUACAUCCGGAAACUGGACAAUUUUAACUUUUUCAGUGGUUUUGGUACGACUCUACCGCUUCGCCAUUAGACAAGCUGUGUUUGAUUAUAAGAUUGUACAAGUAAGGGGAUCUGACAGCCUCUAUGCCAAUGUAUUAUCACGUGCCCAUAUUGAUGGGCCAGCUAUGGAGGAAGAUGACACCGAUAUUCUAAUGUGCGACCCCCUUGAUGCGUCCAUGAAAUUGAGUUACUGGAUGCUGUCAAGAAAGAUAAUAGUCUAAAAGUAGCUCUGAAUGCUACAAGGUGUAAUAAGUGGUCUGAUGUCAUGUCACUGAAAAAUUGUAUCUCAAUAGACCUAACCAGUUCUCUGCCAAGAAUGACCUAUUGGACUGUGGCAUUUGUCUGCUUGUUCAAUCUCCCGUUCCAUGAAAGUUUAUCGUAGAGUUAUACAUCACUUUUUGGGCAUAGUCAAAAUGAAGGCUGUUGCUCAAUGUAGAGACUGGUGGCAAGGAUUAUAUCACUAAUAUGGUUUCAGCUUCCAAGACGUCCCCAAAAAAAAAUGCAUCUGCACCCUCUUCUCAAUUUACUACUUUCGCCUCAGAAAGAGUGUCGAAAGGGACCCAUGGGAAUUUUGCAAUGGUUGGUAAAGAAUUACUAUUGACGUUCCGCUACACCUUGCUGAGCUGUGGUACCACCUCAGAAGAAUUAUUAUUUGCGCAUCCCAUCCGUACGUUCCCGAAUGGGUUACUUCCGACUAGCCAUUACGAUGUUUUUUAUUUUUCAUUUUGUUGAAAUGUCUGGAUUACCAGGGCAAGUCAGUUCCUUUUGAUAAAAAAAUACAAUUAUUAAAGUUUGGGCAAAAAUAAACAAUGUUUAGAGGUAGGUAAACUACCCCAAAGUUUUGAAAAUUACCAUUUUUUCACUAUAAGUGACUUAUUUCUUGAUUAUCGUGAAAAUUGAUCAGGACACAGCUUUUUAUGUUCUAUAUAAUUAUUUAAAUUUACUAUAAGUGUUGUUGUUUUGAGGAAAAAAGAUAUAUAAUGUGAUUUACAAUGAAAUAUAGUUGUAGCAAAAACUUAAAAA
rnacentral:lncRNA from 1 species